CCCCUUAGUAAUGAUGAGACAAUCACCUACCUCCUCGCUGGUCUCGGUCCAGAUUAUAACCCUUUUGUUACUUCCAUGACGACCAAGAGCGAGGCUUUAUCUCUUGAUGAUGUGUAUGCAUAUAUGAUGGCGUUUGAAGC